UACGUAGGGGCCAAGCGUUGUCCGGAUUUAUUGGGCGUAAAGCGCGUGUAGGCGGCCAUACAGGUCCGUUGUGAAAACUCGAGGCUUAACCUCGAGACGUCGAUGGAAACCGUAUGGCUAGAGUCCGGAAGAGGAGAGUGGAAUUCCUGGUGUAGCGGUGAAAUGCGCAGAUAUCAGGAAGAACACCCGUGGCGAAGGCGGUUCUCUGGGACGGUACUGACGCUGAGACGCGAAAGCGUGGGGAGCGAACAGG
rnacentral:rRNA from 1 species